UACGUAGGGUCCGAGCGUUGUCCGGAAUUAUUGGGCGUAAAGGGCUCGUAGGCGGUUUGUCGCGUCGGGAGUGAAAACUCAGGGCUCAACCCUGAGCGUGCUUCCGAUACGGGCAGACUAGAGGUAUGCAGGGGAGAACGGAAUUCCUGGUGUAGCGGUGGAAUGCGCAGAUAUCAGGAGGAACACCAGUGGCGAAGGCAGGAUCUCUGGGCCGAAUGACUCUGAGGAGCGAAAGCAUGGGGAGCGAACAGG
rnacentral:rRNA from 1 species